CGUUAGCUCAAUUGGCAGAGCAGGGGACUUUUAAUCCCAAGGUUCAGGGUUCGAUUCCCUGAC
rnacentral:tRNA from 1 species